rnacentral:rRNA from 1 species
UACGAAGGGGGCUAGCGUUGCUCGGAAUCACUGGGCGUAAAGGGUGCGUAGGCGGGUCUUUUAAGUCAGGGGUGAAAUCCUGGAGCUCAACUCCAGAACUGCCUUUGAUACUGAAGAUCUUGAGUCCGGGAGAGGUGAGUGGAACUGCGAGUGUAGAGGUGAAAUUCGUAGAUAUUCGCAAGAACACCAGUGGCGAAGGCGGCUCACUGGCCCGGUACUGACGCUGAUGCACGAAAGCUAGGGGAGCAAACAGG